rnacentral:rRNA from 1 species
AGAUUAAGUUAUUAAGGGCGCACGGUGGAUGCCUUGGCACUAGAAGCCGAUGAAGGACGUUACUAACGACGAUAUGCUUUGGGGAGCUGUAAGUAAGCUUUGAUCCAGAGAUUUCCGAAUGGGGAAACCCAGCAUGAGUUAUGUCAUGUUAUCGAUAUGUGAAUACAUAGCAUAUCAGAAGGCACACCCGGAGAACUGAAACAUC